rnacentral:tRNA from 1 species
GCGGUUGUGGCGGAACGGCAGACGCGCUACCCUCAGGAGGUAGUGUUUAACGACAUGUGGGUUCAAAUCCCAUCAACCGCACCA